AUUGAACGCUGGCGGCAGGCCUAACACAUGCAAGUCGAGCGCGCGGCGGACGGGUGAGUAAUGUAUGGGGACUGCCCGAUAGAGGGGGAUAACUACUGGAAACGGUAGCUAAUACCGCAUACUAUCGGAUAACCCAUAUGGGAUUAGCUAGUAGGUGAGGUAAUGGCUCACCUAGGCGACGAUCCCUAGCUGGUCUGAGAGGAUGAUCAGCAAUACGGGGACUGAGACACGGCCCAGACUCCUACGGAGGCAGCAGUGGGGAAGAUUGCACAAUGGGCGCAAGCGUGAUUCAGACAUGCAGCGUGUAUGAAGAAGGCCAUAGGGAUGUAAAGCACUUUGAGUGGGGAGGUGUUACAGACAGAAGAAGCAACAUCUAACUCCGUGCCAGCCGCCGCGGUAAUAC
rnacentral:rRNA from 1 species